AUGCUCAGCUCCAUGGAUGCUCUCAUGCACCGCAAUAUACUCGUUGCGCAGAGCGGGUUCUUCACCGCCAAGCUCUCGGACCGCUGGUCCAAUCAGCGGUGGACAUUGUCUCACAUUAACCAGAUCUCCGACUGGGACAACGUGGAGAUAGACAUGGCGGUUCCGUCCCCUGCUCGACACCUCGCUGGUGCUGAUAGGCGCGCUCCGUGUCACUGCAGCAGAGCGGCACCAGACACAAUCCCCCACCUGGGCCGCCCUCACUCUGCUUAA
rnacentral:rRNA from 1 species